rnacentral:rRNA from 1 species
CAGUAGCCGCGGGAAUACAGAGGGUGCAAGCGUUAAUCGGAAUUACUGGGCGUAAAGCGCGCGUAGGCGGCUUCUUAAGUCGGAUGUGAAAUCCCUGAGCUUAACUUAGGAAUUGCAUUCGAUACUGGGAAGCUAGAGUAUGGGAGAGGAUGGUAGAAUUCCAGGUGUAGCGGUGAAAUGCGUAGAGAUCUGGAGGAAUACCGAUGGCGAAGGCAGCCAUCUGGCCUAAUACUGACGCUGAGGUACGAAAGCAUGGGGAGCAAACAGGAUUAGAUACCCCUGUAGUCCCUGUCUCUUAUAC